rnacentral:rRNA from 1 species
UACGAGGGGGGCAAGCGUUGUUCGGAAUUAUUGGGCGUAAAGGGCGCGUAGGCGGUGUCGCAAGUCCGUGGUGAAAUCUCUAGGCUCAACUUAGAGACUGCCGCGGAAACUGCGGUGCUUGAGUGUGGGAGAGGUGCGUGGAAUUCCUGGUGUAGCGGUGGAAUGCGCAGAUAUCAGGAGGAACACCGGUGGCGAAGGCGGGUCUCUGGGCGAGUAACUGACGCUGGAGGAGCGAAAGCGUGGGGAGCGAACAGG